AAAUGUCUUAGUUCGGAUUGAAGUCUGCAACUCGACUUCAUGAAGUUGGAAUCGCUAGUAAUCGCGAAUCAGCAUGUCGCGGUGAAUACGUUCUCGGGGUUUGUACACACCGCCCGUCAAACCACGAAAGUGGACAAUACCCGAAAGCGAUAGCCUAACUGCGCAAGCAGAGGGAAUCGUCUAAGGUAGGGUCGAUGAUUGGGGUUAAGUCGUAACAAGGUAUCCCUACCGGAAGGUGGGGAUGGAUCACCUCCUUUCU
rnacentral:rRNA from 1 species